GACAGAGGUUGCAAACGUUGUUCGGAAUUACUGGGCCUAAAGCGCACGUAGGCGGUUCGUUAAGUCAUGUGUGAAAUCCCUCGGCUCAACCGAGGAAUUGCGCCUGAUACUGGCGGGCUAGAGAUCGAUAGGGGUGAGUGGAACUCCAGGUGGAGCGGUGAAAUGCGUAGAUAUCUGGAGGAACACCGGUGGCGAAAGCGGCUCACUGGAUCGAUACUGACGCUGAGGUGCGAAAGCUAGGGUAGCAAACGGG
rnacentral:rRNA from 1 species